AAUAAUCUUGUGAAGACCCCUGAGAACUACAGACCUACCUGUAAAUAACAGGGGCUCAAGCAUGACAUAAAAACUGAUCUUCACCUCCUAAAAAUUGCCAGAGAAAUACCCACCUUUACACAGGAUGAGCUUGCUGCGUGGGUCAGAAGGGCUAAGUAUGCAGGCCUUUCUCCUCUGUUUGCUGCAAAGAGAGCUGGUAGCCACUAGAGGGGAGGAGACUGCCGGCUUUCCUGAGUGCUUCACGCUACAGCUUGAAGGUGCAGAAGCUGUCACAAGACUGGUUGCCCAACGAAAUGGUUUUUAAAAUUUUAUGAAGAAAGUGUGUAAGUGAAAAUACAAAGCACCUUCCAAGAAACUCAGCUAAAUGAAUGCCCUUCAGAUUUCAGGUGUAUUUUGAAUGCUAUCUUCAAAGAAGUGGUGUCAGAGCAUCAUGUGAAUUGUGAAGGAAAAGAAUGUCAUAGCUGACUAUCUCCUUGUGACCAAUAAAGCUUUGUGCCAUGCUCUUUCAGACUUCACUCUGUCAUUGAUACUGUCAGUUCUCCAGGCUUCCUGCUAGUCAUAUUUACUAUUCUAGGCUGGGGCAGGGGGGAACUGCCCCUCAAAUAGCUCAAAUUGCUCAGUGGGAAUGCUGGAGAUCAGGAUGAAGACCUUGAGUGGAUUAGUGAUCUACUCCUUAGUAGAUGCAAUGUUGUGUUUUGUACUAUUUGGUGCAUCCGUAUGUGCCCUGGGUACUUCUGUAACACUUGAGCUGUAAUUUUCAUUGAGAUCAUCUUCACCUGCAGUUUUAAUAAUUCAGGUUUAAUAUGAAAGAAAUUAUACAUAUGGCCUCACAGACAAAUCCUCCAAGUGUUUCACCUUUCAUCAUUUAUGUUUAUAGAAAAGCUUCACAUUUUCCACAGCUUGUUCACCCUCCCAUACUAAUAAAUCUGGAUUAGAGAGAGAGAGAAACAAACAAACA